CUUCUGUGCCAUUGUUAGGACUAAGGGAAAACAAAUUAUCGUUAGAAAUUAACGAAUCCUGCUGAGCUCCGCUCACUCCUGUCACAUGACCAUCCUCACAGAUUGUAAGCUCUUGAGUCUCCUGAACACGUGUUCGGCUCUGCCAUGUGGUGGUGUGGUGUCAGGUUACUACAGCUCUAUGAAUAUCUUCUCGCUCCUGCAGCUGUUGUCACCGCUCUGAGACAUCACACGGACACAGACGUUCAUUCUCUCUGUGCUCUCCAUACAUUGUGUUAUCGAGGAAGAACAGCAGUAAGGUGAUCAGUUUUCUCUGUGGUUUACACCAAUAAAAAGAAAGAAUAAGCCUGUGAUGCUGCCGACCACAAGGUAGAAGCUGCAGGGAGGAAAGGACUCUGCGCUCCCAUCAUCAGUCCAAAUAGAACAUUUUAUUAUUAUUCUUUGGUUUACUGUAGUGUCAUACUUACCUGACCGUCACCAAUUAUUACCAUUUCUAGUAUUGUAUAGUGUAAAGGGUUAACUGACCAUUAGGGGGUCACUCUUUCGAAGUGGGUAACUGGGCGGAGCUUUGUACAUGGUCAGUGGGGUGUGUAUUUAUUUUGGUUCUGAUAUAGUUCUGGUUAUGCCUUGAUAAAGGAUUCUCCCGAAACGCCUCGCUUUCUGCUGCUUUCAUACAUUAUUACAUCCUCUGAUUUAUAUUAUUAUAAUAGACUAAUAAAGCUUUGCGUUUUAUAUAUUGGACUGAUGAUUGGACGCUGGAUCUUUACACCAUUAAAGUCAAUGGAUUCUGCUGGUGAUUUAUCGCUGCGGAAACCUGCAUUGAAAAAACUCUUGUUACAGUGUGUCAUCUCAAUAGUGAGGUGAUUACAUAAAAAGGGAGUUUGUUACAGUGUGUUACUCGGGGUCACUCCAGGAUAGGGAUUCCCACGACUAGAGAGGUGACACUGCUGGGACAUUAUACAGUAAUGGAGGGGUCUGGUGAUGACUGGAGAGGUGACA